AUAAGUCAAGUAUUCUUGUGUUCUUUCCUUAUCACAAGCUAAACCAUCUGAGCCAUCAAACAGAAAGCCCAGUGCUCUCAAACUGGUGGUGUAGUUUCAAUUG